ACAGUCACACAUUAGACUACCCCGGUAGUCCCAGCCGUAAACUAUGCGCGUUAGGUGUAUCGGUGACCACGAGUCACCGAGGUGCCGAAGGGAAACCGUGAAACGUGCCGCCUGGGAAGUACGGUCGCAAGGCUGAAACUUAAAGGAAUUGGCGGGGAGCACCACAACGGGUGGAGCCUGCGGUUUAAUUGGACUCAACGCCGGGAAGCUCACCGGAUAAGACAGCGGAAUGAUUGCCGGGCUGAAGACUCUGCAUGACUAGCUG
rnacentral:rRNA from 1 species